rnacentral:rRNA from 1 species
GACGAACGCUGGCGGCGUGCUUAACACAUGCAAGUCGAACGGAAAGGCCCUGCUUGCAGGGUACUCGAGUGGCGAACGGGUGAGUAACACGUGGGUGAUCUGCCCUGCACUUCGGGAUAAGCCUGGGAAACUGGGUCUAAUACCGGAUAGGAGCCAUUUUUAGUGUGAUGGUUGGAAAGUUUUUUCGGUGUAGGAUGAGCUCGCGGCCUAUCAGCUUGUUGGUGGGGUAAUGGCCUACCAAGGCGGCGACGGGUAGCCGGCCUGUGAGGGUGGACGGCCACAUUGGGACUGAGAUACGGCCCAGACUCCGACGGGAGGCAGCAGUGGGGAAGAUUGCACAAUGGGCGCAAGCCUGAUGCAGCGACGCCGCGUGGGGGAUGACGGCCUUCGGGUUGUAAACUCCUUUCGCUAGGGACGAAGCUUUUUGUGACGGUACCUAGAUAAGAAGCACCGGCUAACUACGUG